AAGAAAAGAUUUUUAAUUUUUUAUACUCCUGUAUUAGUUUGAUUUUCCUUUUGUGGGAAUGAGUUGGAAUUGGAUGAGAAGAAAGUGAAAUUGAAAAAGGAAACCGUACCAGGAGGAUCUUGAAGUGUUAUAGAGCUAUUGGGAGACUUGGUUGAGACUCCACUUCUCUUCUUCUUCUUCUUCUUCCUCUCUACCUCUCUGGCCGUCCCAU
rnacentral:lncRNA from 1 species